AGCGAGACGACCUCAACCACAGCCGCGUUGACCGCUCGCUCGUCCCGCGCCUGUCUCGUCCGUUCCCGCUCGCGUGGGCUGCACACCACUCCAAUGCCCAGCCGGAUCACUCGGCCUAUCUCCUCCACAGAUCUGGGCCAUGGCCCAUGGUUCCGAUAACAUCGCCUUUGUGAGGAUCCGUUCAACUACGUCUGUUUGUCUUCUUCAUGGACUCGUUCUUCUUCCUUGCGGGAUCCCAGACAAGAUGACCAUACCCUCGAAAUCACUUCUAUCUUUGCUUGCUAGUUGCUCGCUCUAUUGCUAUGCUGCGAUGCCUACCACUUGCUAUAUCAUGCCUCCCAUAUUGCCAUGUCAAGCAUCUAACCCACGUCGUCCUAGCAAACCAUUGUUUGGCUAUGUUACCGCUUUGCUCAGCC
rnacentral:rRNA from 1 species